rnacentral:lncRNA from 1 species
CAUAAAUGUAUUUACAAACAAAAGUAAUAAUUAUAUUAAGAAAGAAAACGGUAUUGAACAACACAACCAUUUAAAAUACACAAUAUUUAAUGAACUUAAUAUGAAAUACAGUCAAAAAAGAAAUGAUGAGUGGGGUUAUAAUACAAACGCAAAUAUUACAAAAAUAAAUUCUUACUAUAAUGAUGAUAAAGAUAAUGAAAUAAUAAAAAAAGAAGGUACGUAUUUGGUAGAAAGGAACAGAGCUGGUAAUAUUGUAAUAGGUGAUAACACCAUAAUGGGUGGUAAUAUAAAUGAAACUAGCAUAAUGAAUAGCAACAUAAUUAACAAUACAAUGAAUAAUACUAUACAAAUAAUGAUGAAUAAUAAUAGUAAUUGUAAUAGCAACAAUACUUAUGUUAAUAAAAAAAAUUAUCCAGAUCAAUCGAUACACGUUGAUGCUAUAUAUUACAACACACCAUCUAACAAAAAUCCGAACGAACAUAUAAGCAAUAGUAACAGUAGAUAUAGCAACAGUAACAUCAGUUAUAGUAAUAGUAACAGCAGUUAUAGUAAUAGUAACAGCAGUUAUAGUAAUAGUAACAACAGUAACAGUAGAUAUAGCAACUGUAACAGCAAUUAUAGCAACAGUAGCAGCAAUUAUAGCAACAGUAGCAGCAAUUAUAGCAACAGUAGCAGCAAUUAUAGCAACAGUAGCAGCAAUUAUAGCAACAGUAGCAGCAAUUAUAGCAACAGUAGCAGCAAUUAUAACAACAGUAGCAGCAAUUAUAGCAACAGUAGCAGCAGUUAUAGCAACAGUAGCAGCAGUUAUAAUGGGGAAUUAGAUGUAGAAUAUGCAAUGUAUACAAAUAGUUAUAAUAAUAAAGAAGAUCUAGAGAAAGAUGUCAUAUAUAAAUGUGAAGAUUCUAUACCGCUUGGUACCAUUUUAAAUAUACAUAAUUUAGAUAGUAAUAAUAAUAAUAUUUUUACUACUGUUAUGUUAAGAAAUAUACCAAAUAAAUAUACACGAAACAUGUUAAUGGAUGUUAUGAAUAAACAUUUUAAAGGGUUAUAUGAUUUUUUUUAUUUACCUAUUGAUUUUCGUAAUAAAUGUAAUGUUGGAUAUGCAUUUAUAAAUUUUAUUCACCCGCAUUAUGCUGAAGUAUUCAUUAAUUUUUUUAAUAAUUAUAAAUUAGAUGCAUUUAAAAGUAAUAAAGUUUGUACUGUUACAUGGGGGAGAGUGCAAGGAUUAAAGGCAAAUAUAGAGCAUUACAGAAACUCAGCUAUUAUGAAUGUAGCUAUACCACAAUACAAACCUAUGCUUUUUCAGAACGGCAUUUCUGUUUCAU